GUCUGACACUGACACUCACACACACACACUGCACAUCCCCCAGCCACACUGGGCUUCUCUCCAUCCCUCAGGCAGUGUGCAGGUACCUGCUGCUUCCUCUGCCCAGGGACCCCUCCCAUUACCUGACCAACAACCUACCCAGAAGCACCCCCUCCCGGCCACCAGCCAGAGAAGAUCCAUACCCAAUGCCAAGCUGGGGAGACGCAGGUGCCUUCCUCCAGUGACCACAGCCCACCAGUCCCAGUGGAGGCCCCAAGAGGAAACAGAGGCAGCACCCUGGCCCUGCUGCCAUCCCGAGAGGCCCAGGCUCCCAGAAAGCUCUGCCUGGGGUAGGGCACAGGGACACAGUCAACAUAGAGGAUGGCGGAAGACAGAACUUCCAGAGGCUACAGCAACCACUGUCCCACUGCACCACCACUUCCUGGACUAGGAAGCCCCAUCUCAUCUGACCCUGCAUGAACCUCUAGAUUGGCGCGUGGGUCCUUCCAGCAGCAACAGCCACCCAGCAGAGAGCAGCCCUGGGGCACAAGUUGGUGCUUCCCGACAGGGAACGGAAGGAAGAAGGCCCCAGCGGAGAAGUCCACUGUGGAUGGGGACUUGUGAGUCUACACUGGCUACAGAUCCAUUUUGGAACUGAGAACCAAGGCAGCCUUUGGGGAGGAGGGAGGCUGACAACUCCUUGGCCAGCUGAGAAAGUUGCACUUUGAAAUCCCACCACCAGCAGCCAGGUGCAGCCCCUGAGCUACUGUGUCCCCACUGGACACCUACCCCACCCAACCCAUCCCCCCGGCAAUCUGUCGGCCUGAAGAGAAGCAAUUGACUAAAAAACAAUAGAGGAGGGCCUGGCAUGGUAGCCUAGCAGCUGAAGUCCUCGCCUUGCAUACACCGGGAUCCU